UACGUAGGUGGCAAGCGUUGUCCGGAAUUAUUGGGCGUAAAGCGCGCGCAGGCGGCCUUUUAAGUCUGAUGUGAAAUCUUGCGGCUCAACCGCAAGCGGCCAUUGGAAACUGGGAGGCUUGAGUACAGAAGAGGAGAGUGGAAUUCCACGUGUAGCGGUGAAAUGCGCAGAUAUCGGGAAGAACACCCGUGGCGAAGGCGGCACUCUGGGACGGUACUGACGCUGAGACGCGAAAGCGUGGGGAGCGAACAGG
rnacentral:rRNA from 1 species